rnacentral:tRNA from 1 species
GAGAGCUAGCUCGAUUGGUAAAAUGCUUGCUUUACAAGCAUGAAGACCUGAGUUUGAACCUCAGAAUUCACA